UCUGACUUCCUAAUCAUGACAAUUCCUGUAUGACAGAAAUAUGUAUACAAAACACUUGGCAUAAGGUAAGCACCCUGAAACAGAACUAUCAAUAAUAUGAGGACUGCAUUUUCUUCUUAAAUUUUCAGGAAAAUUGAAAUUUACUGAGAGCAUGAACUAUUCACAAAUAACAAGAAUACAAGACGGAAUGCAUUCUGCAGAGGAGCAGUCACGUUCCUGCACCAGGGAUUUUUCACUGGCCUUCUCUCUGCCUGAAUAUUUUCCCCUGCAUGGAUCAUUCCAAGUCUUUCAGCAAAUGCCACCUUCUUAGGUAAAGUCAUGGAAAAUGAAGAAUGGAUUAAGCAUGGUGCUUGCUGAAAGCAAAUGUGUUUUUAGCUGUUAUGAAGCAAAAUGAGAUCUAUAAAUACCAGUAAUCUAUAGAAGGUAUACCACUAGAAAAUGUUUGCUUUUGUGUUGUUAUUUCUUUAUUAAUGGUAAAAAUAAUACAGGGAUGACAAAUGCCUUUCAUUUUGAAAAAUAUAUAUAAUUAAAACCUGAAACUUUGUAGAACUUCAUUUAUUUCAGACAUGAGUUUCCCAGAAGGAUUUCAGGUUCUCAGAA